rnacentral:rRNA from 1 species
GAUUAGGUUGCUUGCAGUUAAAAAGCUCGUAGUUGGAUUUCGGGUGGGGCCUGCCGGUCCGCCGUUUCGGUGUGCACUGGCAGGGCCCACCUUGUUGCCGGGGACGGGCUCCUGGGCUUCACUGUCCGGGACUCGGAGUCGGCGCUGUUACUUUGAGUAAAUUAGAGUGUUCAAAGCAGGCCUACGCUCUGAAUACAUUAGCAUGGAAUAACACGAUAGGACUCUGGCCUAUCCUGUUGGUCUGUAGGACCGGAGUAAUGAUUAAGAGGGACAGUCGGGGGCAUUCGUAUUUCAUUGUCAGAGGUGAAAUUCUUGGAUUUAUGAAAGACGAACUACUGCGAAAGCAUUUGCCAAGGAUGUUUUCAUUAAUCAAGAACGAAAGUUGGGGGCUCGAAGA